rnacentral:rRNA from 1 species
AGUAACACGUGAGCAACCUGCCUCAAAGUUUGGAACAACACCGGGAAACCGGUGCUAAUACCAGAUGUCCUUAUUGGAUCGCAUGGUCCGAUACGGAAAGAUUCAUCGCUUUGAGAGGGGCUCGCGGCCUAUCAGCUAGUUGGUGGGGUAAUGGCCUACCAAGGCGACAACGGGUAGCUGGUCUGAGAGGACGACCAGUCACAUUGGGACUGAGACACGGCCCAG